rnacentral:lncRNA from 1 species
UAAAAUGGCCGUACUGCCCAAAGUAGGCCCCAGUUUCUAUCGUUACCAUCCUUAUGUCCGGAGUAACCAAUGUUUACUUCCCACUUAUAAGAUAUAUACCCAGUAAUGACUGAUCGACUUACAACAGUGAUAUAAUUCUGGAAUUUUCUUCUGUUUUGCAAUUUUGACUUGGAGUGCUGAUCUCCCACAUGUCAUUAUUUCAACUAGCCCUAAAUGAAAGAAACAACAUAAUUAAUAAAGUCAUUCUCAAAUAUGGGCAAUUAUGUAUUAUCAAACACCUAAACAUCUAGAUUCAACUUGGCAAAAGAAAAGCAAAUUUUCUUCCCCUUUCACAUCGUUUAUUUAGAUUUUGACGGAUUAUUUUUAAAGAAGGUUGUUCAAAUUUAUAUGAACUAACUUUUCUCGCCAGCAGCAUGUGAACUAGAUAAUUCUUUUGGUAAGGCUGUACAGUGAAGUCCAAGAUGUUAGCUGCUUCCUUCGUCUCUACUCACUGAUGCCAGUAGUACCUCAUAUUUGUGGCAA